rnacentral:rRNA from 1 species
UACGGAGGGUGCAAGCGUUGCUCGGAAUUACUGGGCGUAAAGGGCGUGUAGGCGGUUUCGUAUGUCUGGCGUGAAAGCCCCGGGCUCACCUCGGGAAGUGCGUCGGAAACUGCGAGACUAGAGUCCCGGAGAGGGAGGUGGAAUUCCCGGUGUAGUGGUGAAAUGCGUAGAUAUCGGGAGGAACACCAGUGGCGAAGGCGGCUUCCUGGCCUGUUCUUGACGCUGAGGCGCGAAAGCUAGGGUAGCAAACGGG